CCCUUAGAUGUUCUGGGCCGCACACGCGCUACACUGGCAGGUUCAUCGAGCUUCAUGCCCUGAUCUGAGAAGAACGGGAAAUCUUUGAACACCUGCCGUGCUUGGGAUAGAUGUUUGCAAUUAUUCAUCUUCAACGAGGAUUGCCUUGUAAGCGCACGUCAUCAGCGUGCAUUGAAUACGACCCUGUAUUCUGUACACACCGCCCGUCGCUCCUACCGAUUGAAGUUUUCGGUGAAUUUACUGGGGAUCCCUUUUGAAGGUGGUUCGCCACUGGAAGAAGUAUUCAAAAGUAAAUGAAUCGAAUGCUUUAGAGGAAGGAGAAGUCGUAACA
rnacentral:rRNA from 1 species